CCUACGGGAGGCAGCAGUGAGGAAUAUUGGUCAAUGGACGAGAGUCUGAACCAGCCAAGUAGCGUGAAGGAUGACUGCCCUAUGGGUUGUAAACUUCUUUUAUAUGGGAAUAAAAUGUUCCACGUGUGGGAUUUUGUAUGUACCAUAUGAAUAAGGAUCGGCUAACUCCGUGCCAGCAGCCGCGGUAAUACUGAGGAUCCGAGCGUUAUCCGGAUUUAUUGGGUUUAAAGGGAGCGUAGGUGGAUUGUUAAGUCAGUUGUGAAAGUUUGCGGCUCAACCGUAAAAUUGCAGUUGAAACUGGCAGUCUUGAGUACAGUAGAGGUGGGCGGAAUUCGUGGUGUAGCGGUGAAAUGCUUAGAUAUCACGAAGAACUCCGAUUGCGAAGGCAGUUCACUGGACUGCAACUGACACUGAGGCUCGAAAGUGUGGGUAUCAAACAGGAUUAGAUACCCGAGUAGUC
rnacentral:rRNA from 1 species